CAGCAGCCGCGGUAAUACAGAGGGUGCGAGCGUUAAUCGGAUUUACUGGGCGUAAAGCGUGCGUAGGCGGCUUCUUAAGUCGGAUGUGAAAUCCCUGAGCUUAACUUAGGAAUUGCAUUCGAUACUGGGAAGCUAGAGUAUGGGAGAGGAUGGUAGAAUUCCAGGUGUAGCGGUGAAAUGCGUAGAGAUCUGGAGGAAUACCGAUGGCGAAGGCAGCCAUCUGGCCUAAUACUGACGCUGAGGUACGAAAGCAUGGGGAGCAAACAGGAUUAGAGACCCCGGUAGUCCCUGUCUCUUAUAA
rnacentral:rRNA from 1 species